GACGAACCGUCCAAACGUUGUUCGGAAUCACUGGGCUUAAAGGGAGCGUAGGCGGGCUGCCAAGUCCGGGGUGAAAUCCUCCAGCUUAACUGGAGAACUGCCUCGGAUACUGGAAGUCUCGAGGAGGGUAGGGGCAAGCGGAACCGUGGGUGGAGCGGUGAAAUGCGUUGAUAUCCAUGGGAACUCCGGUGGCGAAGGCGGCUUGCUGGACCUUUUCUGACGCUGAGGCUCGAAAGCCAGGGGAGCAAACGGG
rnacentral:rRNA from 1 species